UACGUAGGGUGCAAGCGUUGUCCGGAAUUAUUGGGCGUAAAGAGCUCGUAGGCGGUCAGUCGCGUCUGCUGUGAAAACUCGGGGCUUAACUCCGGGCCUGCAGUGGGUACGGGCUGACUGGAGUGCGGUAGGGGAGACUGGAAUUCCUGGUGUAGCGGUGAAAUGCGCAGAUAUCGUAAGGAAGACCAGUGGCGAAGGCGGGUCUCUGGACAGUUCCUGACGCUGAGGCACGAAGGCCAGGGGAGCAAACGGG
rnacentral:rRNA from 1 species